rnacentral:piRNA from 1 species
UCUACUGUGGGGCGCACAGCACAGAUGGAC